rnacentral:rRNA from 1 species
AGGUAAGCUACUAAGAGCGAAUGGUGGAUGCCUUGACUGGUAAAGGCGAUGAAGGACGUACUAGACUGCGAUAAGCUACGGGGAGCUGUCAAGAAGCUUUGAUCCGUAGAUUUCCGAAUGGGGCAACCCAAUGUAUAGAGAUAUACAUUACCUAUAUAGGAGCGAACGAGGGGAAUUGAAACAUCUUAGUACCCUCAGGAAAAGAAAUCAAUAGAGAUUGCGUCAGUAGCGGCGAGCGAAAGCGCAAGAGGGCAAACCCAGUGCUUGCACUGGGGGUUGUAGGACUGCAAUGUGCAAGAGCUGAGUUUAGCAGAACAUUCUGGAAAGUAUAGCCAUAGAGGGUGAUAGUCCCGUAUGCGAAAAACAAAGCUUAGCUAGCAGUAUCCUGAGUAGGGCGGGACACGAGGAAUCCUGUCUGAAUCCGGGUCGACCACGAUCCAACCCUAAAUACUAAUACCAGAUCGAUAGUGCACAAGUACCGUGAGGGAAAGGUGAAAAGAACUGAGGUGAUCAGAGUGAAAUAGAACCUGAAACCAUUUGCUUACAAUCAUUCAGAGCCCUAUGUAGCAAUACAGGGUGAUGGACUGCCUUUUGCAUAAUGAGCCUGCGAGUUGUGGUGUCUGGCAAGGUUAAGCAAACGCGAAGCCGUAGCGAAAGCGAGUCUGAAUAGGGCGCUUAGUCAGAUGCUGCAGACCCGAAACGAAGUGAUCUAUCCAUGAGCAAGUUGAAGCUAGUGUAAGAACUAGUGGAGGACUGAACCCAUAGGCGUUGAAAAGCCCCGGGAUGACUUGUGGAUAGGGGUGAAAGGCCAAUCAAACUUCGUGAUAGCUGGUUCUCUCCGAAAUAUAUUUAGGUAUAGCGUUGUGUCGUAAUAUAAGGGGGUAGAGCACUGAAUGGGCUAGGGCAUACACCAAUGUACCAAACCCUAUCAAACUCCGAAUACCUUAUAUGUAAUCACAGCAGUCAGGCGGCGAGUGAUAAAAUCCGUCGUCAAGAGGGAAACAACCCAGACUACCAGCUAAGGUCCCUAAAUCUUACUUAAGUGGAAAACGAUGUGAAGUUACUUAAACAACCAGGAGGUUGGCUUAGAAGCAGCCAUCCUUUAAAGAAAGCGUAAUAGCUCACUGGUCUAGUGAUUUUGCGCGGAAAAUAUAACGGGGCUAAAGU